rnacentral:tRNA from 1 species
GCCUUCGUGGUGUAGUGGUCAGCACGCUCGACGUGCGUCCCAGAGAUCCGUGGUUCAAGUCCCGGCGACUGCA